UACGGAGGAGGCAAGCGUUAUCCGGAAUUAUUGGGCGUAAAGCGUCCGUAGAUGGUUUUGUCAGUCUGCUAUCAAAGCACAGGGCUUAACCCUGUAAAGGCAGUGGAAACUACAAGACUAGAGUGCAGUAGGGGCAGAGGGAAUUCCCAGUGUAGCGGUGAAAUGCGUAGAGAUUGGGAAGAACAUCCGUGGCGAAAGCGCCCUGCUGGACUGCAACUGACAUUGAGGGACGAAAGCUAGGGGAGCGAAUGGG
rnacentral:rRNA from 1 species